rnacentral:rRNA from 1 species
CCUACGGGAGGCAGCAGUGAGGAAUAUUGGUCAAUGGGCGUAAGGCUGAACCAGCCAAGUCGCGUGAAGGAAGAAUGAUCUAUGGGUUGUACACUUCUUUUAUAAAGGAAUAAAGGUAUGCACGUGUGGCUAUUUGCAUGUACUCUAUGAAUAAGGAUCGGAUAACUCCGUGCCAGCAGGCGCGGUAAUACGGAGGAUGCGAGCGUUAUCCGUAUUUAUUGGGUUUACAGGGAGCGUAGGUUGUUUUUUAAGUCAGUGUUGAAAGUUUGUGGCUCAACCAUAAAAUUGCCGUGUGAACUGGGAGACUUGAGUGUGUUUGGGGGAGGACGAAGGACGUGGGUAGCCGUUA